UCCGUAGGCGGUGUGGCAAGUCGGGAGUGAAAUCUCUGGGCUUAACCCAGAGGCUGCUUCCGAAACUGCCGUGCUAGAGUGUGAGAGAGGCGAGUGGAAUUACGGGUGUAGCGGUGAAAUGCGUAGAUAUCCGUAGGAACAUCCGAGGCGAAGGCGGCUCGCUGGAUCACAACUGACGCUGAGGGAGAAAGCUAGGGGAGCAAACA
rnacentral:rRNA from 1 species